rnacentral:rRNA from 1 species
AUGUUCCAUCAAUUCUAUAUUGGGACGUUCGACGUGGCUCGUAUAAACUUUGGUGUCAUUACCUUGAUCCCCAAAGUAGUUGGGGCUACAGACAUUCAGCAAUUUAGACCUAUCAUGGUUAUCAACGUGCUUGAGCGCAUCUUCUCAAAAGUAUGCGCGACCCGACUAGCCCCCGUAGCAGAGCAGCUGGAUCAUCCUCUCCAAACGACAUUUCUAAAGGGCCCACGGAUUCAUGACGGAAUCCUGGCCCUGCACGAAAUCGUCCAUGAGGUUAGGGUGCGUGGUCAUAAGGUUGUAUUCCUCAAGUUGGACUUCCAGAAGGCAUACGAUCACCUGGAUUGGUCCUUCUUGAGGCUAGUCAUGCAGCGUCGGGGCUUUGAUGACCGUUGGUGCUCCUGGAUCAUGCAGCUAGUGCAAUCCAGUAACACGGCGAUCAACAUUAACGACGAGGUGGGACCAUUCUUGAAGUCCUCUGCAGGAGUAAUGUAG